AGAGCGAACGCUGGCGGCAGGCCUAACACAUGCAAGUCGAGCGCCCCGCAAGGGGAGCGGCAGACGGGAGAGUAACACGUGGGAACGUACCCUUUGGUUCGGAACAACACAGGGAAACUUGUGCUAAUACCGGAUAAGCCCUUACGGGGAAAGAUUUAUUGCCAAAGGAUCGGCCCGCGUCUGAUUAGCUUGUUGGUGAGGUAACGGCUCACCAAGGCUACGAUCAGUAGCUGGUCUGAGAGGAUGAUCAGCCUCACUGGGACUGAGACACGGCCCAGACUCCUACGGGAGGCAGCAGUGGGGAAUAUUGGACAAUGGGCGCAAGCCUGAUCCAGCCAUGCCGCGUGGAUGAUGAAGGCCCUAGGGUUGUAAAGUCCUUUCGACGGGAAGAUAAUGACGGUACCCGUAGAAGAAGCCCGGCUAACUUCGUGCCAGCAGCCGC
rnacentral:rRNA from 1 species